GAGUUAGUGGCGGACGGGUGAGUAACGCGUGGGUAACCUGCCUCAUACAGGGGGAUAGCAGCUGGAAACGGCUGAUAAAACCGCAUAAGCGCACAGCAUCGCAUGAUGCAGUGUGAAAAACUCCGGUGGUAUGAGAUGGACCCGCGUCUGAUUAGCUGGUUGGUGAGGUAACGGCCCACCAAGGCGACGAUCAGUAGCCGGCCUGAGAGGGUGACCGGCCACAUUGGGACUGAGACACGGCCCAAACUCC
rnacentral:rRNA from 1 species